rnacentral:rRNA from 1 species
GGCUACGGCCAUACCACCCUGAACGCACCCGAUCUCGUCUGAUCUCGGAAGCUAAGCAGGGUCGGGCCUGGUUAGUACUUGGAUGGGAGAUUUGGGUGGGGACACAAAGCCUAACCA